CAGGUCAAUGGCCAGCAAGGAGGGGGGUCCGAGCCGGCGGCGGCGGCAGUGGUGGCAGCGGGAGACAAAUGGAAACCUCCACAGGGCACAGACUCCAUCAAGAUGGAGAACGGGCAGAGCACAGCCGCCAAGCUGGGGCUGCCGCCCCUGACGCCCGAGCAGCAGGAGGCCCUUCAGAAGGCCAAGAAGUACGCCAUGGAGCAGAGCAUCAAGAGCGUGCUGGUGAAGCAGACCAUCGCGCACCAGCAGCAGCAGCUCACCAAUCUGCAGAUGGCGGCUCAGCGGCAGCGGGCGCUGGCCAUCAUGUGCCGUGUCUACGUGGGCUCUAUCUACUACGAGCUGGGGGAGGACACCAUCCGCCAGGCCUUUGCACCCUUUGGCCCCAUCAAGAGCAUCGACAUGUCCUGGGAUUCCGUCACCAUGAAGCACAAGGUCAGCAGGCUUGGUCCACCCCGGCCACUUUGGGCUCGCCCCCACCCCUGGGCUCGUGCAGCCUGACAGGUGUGUCCCUGUGUCUAGGGCUUUGCCUUCGUGGAGUAUGAGGUCCCCGAAGCUGCACAGCUGGCCUUGGAGCAGAUGAACUCGGUGAUGCUGGGGGGCAGGAACAUCAAGGUGAGGCAGGGAGCCAAGGCCUUGAUCCCGCAGGCGUGCAGGGCUGCUCCUCCACAGAAGCCUUUUGUGGCUGGGCCUGGGUUGACCGGUCUUUCCAUCUCGCCACCUCUUCCCCAGGUGGGCAGACCCAGCAACAUAGGGCAGGCCCAGCCCAUCAUAGACCAGCUGGCUGAGGAGGCACGGGCCUUCAACCGCAUCUACGUGGCCUCUGUGCACCAGGACCUCUCAGACGAUGACAUCAAGAGUGUGUUUGAGGCCUUUGGCAAGAUCAAGUCCUGCACACUGGCCCGGGACCCCACAACGGGCA
rnacentral:sRNA from 1 species